GACGAACGCUGGCGGCGUGCUUAACACAUGCAAGUCGAACGGUAAGGCCCUUCGGGGUACACGAGUGGCGAACGGGUGAGUAACACGUGGGUGAUCUGCCCUGCACUUCGGGAUAAGCCUGGGAAACUGGGUCUAAUACCGGAUAGGACCACUGCCUGCAUGGGUGGUGGUGGAAAGCUUUUGUGGUGUGGGAUGGGCCCGCGGCCUAUCAGCUUGUUGGUGGGGUGAUGGCCUACCAAGGCGACGACGGGUAGCCGGCCUGAGAGGGUGACCGGCCACACUGGGACUGAGAUACGGCCCAGACUCCUACGGGAGGCAGCAGUGGGGAAUAUUGCACAAUGGGCGCAAGCCUGAUGCAGCGACGCCGCGUGAGGGAUGACGGCCUUCGGGUUGUAAACCCCUUUCAGCACCGACGAAGCGCAAGUGACGGUAGGUGCAGAAGAAGGACCGGCCAACUACGUGCCAGCCGCCGCUGUAA
rnacentral:rRNA from 1 species